rnacentral:rRNA from 1 species
GACGGAAGGUGCAAGCGUUGCUCGGAAUCACUGGGCGUAAAGGGUGCGUAGGCGGCUUGGUGGGUCUGGUGUGAAAGCCCCGGGCUCAGCCCGGGAAGGGCGCUAGAAACUGCCGAGCUCGAGUGCCGGAGGGGAGAGUGGAAUUCCUGGUGUAGCGGUGAAAUGCGUAGAUAUCAGGAGGAAUACCGGUGGCGAAAGCGGCCACCUGGACUGUACCUGACGCUCAAACGCGAAAGCUAGGGGAGCGAACGGG